rnacentral:sRNA from 1 species
GUCCUAUUUUAAUAAUAUAAAUGAUAACAACAAAAACAAUGUUUUUUAUAUUAAUAAAAUAUCUAAAGUAAAUGCUCUUAUUUUUGGCCGAGGAAACAGAACUUACUGCUAGGAAAUCCAUUUUGACAGCUGUCAAAUAUCGUCUGCAGCCGAAUAAUCUUUGUUACACCAACGUUUAUUCCAAAGGUAAAAAAUUAAGAGAAGAUCAAAGCGUGUCGAAAACAUCGACGCACGUGUGUUUACGUUUCUGAUGGCGUUUCCCUGUAUCGUCUGCGGUGUUUCUUUUGAUAAAUCAAAUCAUUUACAAAGACACAUCUUAACAAGAAAACAUCAAAUUAAUAACGAAUUCCACAGUAUAUUGAGAGGGAAAACGAGCGGCGAUCAAAAGUUGCAAUUCGUUUUGCCAGCAGAGGAUACAUGUACCCCGGCCGAGACCGAACAAAGUCAGGAUCCACCACCCAUCGAUCAUGGGGAUGUGCUGUUCUCUGACGGAAAAAAGAACAACGAACUGGAAAGCGACGAUAUUGAGAAUCACAAAAAACAUGUAAAUGAGACAUGUUUUCCUCCACCAGACAAUGAUUCGGAGUGGUUUCCAUUUCCAGAUAAGCUGAGUCUUCUUCUAGUUUGGAAGUUGCUAUAUAAGUAUGUCUGGUUCAUUCUCAAAGAAAUGGGUGUACCAGACAUUCCACCACUAGCCAAGAUCCGCAGCAUGAAAUUUGGUCAAUUGGAUGUGGAAAAUUUGAUUUCAAAGGGAGAAGAUGACUCUGGGUUGCCCAUUUCUAUUAUCAAGCCAAGUGAAAUUGCCAAGCUUAAUUUGAGCAAUCCAACUAUUUCACCAAAUAUUGCAAGGUAUCCUAGGAAAACCACAAUUAUAAAAGAACAAAGAGAUGGGACUAGACUGCAUGAAAUUAUCUCUCCCUGGGCAUCAGUAAAUAACACCCAUUUUCAUGUGGGAGAGCCAGUGAAAGUAACAAGCAAUGCCUUAGCUGGUGUAAUAACAGCAUUUUAUGAGAAUGAUGAGCAAAAUGUUAUUUUGGCUGAAAUUAAAAUUGCUGAGGAAGACAGAAAUGAUGAAAAUGACCACAACUGCUUGAUGGAGAGAAGGAGAUUGAUGACAGUACCUCUAUUGAAUUUAUCAAAAGACGUGGAGCCUUCAAUCAUCAAUGAAUCAAUGACAACAUCAGGUCAACUUGUGGAAAAACCAAAGGAGACAGACGAAAUAUCACACCAUGGUCCACCUCUUGGAUAUUCUGAAGAUGUUUUUGAAAAGAGGCAUGGUGUGAUCAGAGCAAAACUUUUCAACCAAGAAAACCAACUCGCAAGAAGUCGAGAUACCGCCAUUUUAUUUGGAAAAAGCUGUGUUUUCCUUCAUGUGUUAAUGGGUGGUUUCUUCCAAACAAAUGACGCUAAAUGGUAGGGAAAAGAACAAUCAUAUUAUCUGCAUAAAUCAUCCUCUUCAUUAUUAUGUUCUUAAUUUAUUGAACAAGAUUAAUUGGUGCAUAUUUUACUUAUUCAUAUUUUUAGCUCACCGAGCUGAAAGCUCAAGUGAGCUAUUCUGAUCACAUUUUGUCUGUCGUCCGUCUGUCUGUCCGUCUGUCUGUAAACUUUUCACAUUUUCAACAUCUUCUCAAGAACCACUGGGCCAAUUUUAACCAAACUUGGCACAAAGCAUC